GUUAAGCGACUAAGCGUACACGGUGGAUGCCCUGGCAGUCAGAGGCGAUGAAGGACGUGCUAAUCUGCGAUAAGCGUCGGUAAGGUGAUAUGAACCGUUAUAACCGGCGAUUUCCGAAUGGGGAAACCCAGUGUGUUUCGACACACUAUCAUUAACUGAAUCCAUAGGUUAAUGAGGCGAACCGGGGGAACUGAAACAUCUAAGUACCCCGAGGAAAAGAAAUCAACCGAGAUUCCCCCAGUAGCGGCGAGCGAACGGGGAGCAGCCCAGAGCCUGAAUCAGUGUGUGUGUUAGUGGAAGCGUCUGGAAAGGCGCGCGAUACAGGGUGACAGCCCCGUACACAAAAAUGCACAUGCUGUGAGCUCGAUGAGUAGGGCGGGACACGUGGUAUCCUGUCUGAAUAUGGGGGGACCAUCCUCCAAGGCUAAAUACUCCUGACUGACCGAUAGUGAACCAGUACCGUGAGGGAAAGGCGAAAAGAACCCCGGCGAGGGGAGUGAAAAAGAACCUGAAACCGUGUACGUACAAGCAGUGGGAGCACGCUUAGGCGUGUGACUGCGUACCUUUUGUAUAAUGGGUCAGCGACUUAUAUUCUGUAGCAAGGUUAACCGAAUAGGGGAGCCGAAGGGAAACCGAGUCUUAACUGGGCGUUAAGUUGCAGGGUAUAGACCCGAAACCCGGUGAUCUAGCCAUGGGCAGGUUGAAGGUUGGGUAACACUAACUGGAGGACCGAACCGACUAAUGUUGAAAAAUUAGCGGAUGACUUGUGGCUGGGGGUGAAAGGCCAAUCAAACCGGGAGAUAGCUGGUUCUCCCCGAAAGCUAUUUAGGUAGCGCCUCGUGAAUUCAUCUCCGGGGGUAGAGCACUGUUUCGGCAAGGGGGUCAUCCCGACUUACCAACCCGAUGCAAACUGCGAAUACCGGAGAAUGUUAUCACGGGAGACACACGGCGGGUGCUAACGUCCGUCGUGAAGAGGGAAACAACCCAGACCGCCAGCUAAGGUCCCAAAGUCAUGGUUAAGUGGGAAACGAUGUGGGAAGGCCCAGACAGCCAGGAUGUUGGCUUAGAAGCAGCCAUCAUUUAAAGAAAGCGUAAUAGCUCACUGGUCGAGUCGGCCUGCGCGGAAGAUGUAACGGGGCUAAACCAUGCACCGAAGCUGCGGCAGCGACGCUUAUGCGUUGUUGGGUAGGGGAGCGUUCUGUAAGCCUGCGAAGGUGUGCUGUGAGGCAUGCUGGAGGUAUCAGAAGUGCGAAUGCUGACAUAAGUAACGAUAAAGCGGGUGAAAAGCCCGCUCGCCGGAAGACCAAGGGUUCCUGUCCAACGUUAAUCGGGGCAGGGUGAGUCGACCCCUAAGGCGAGGCCGAAAGGCGUAGUCGAUGGGAAACAGGUUAAUAUUCCUGUACUUGGUGUUACUGCGAAGGGGGGACGGAGAAGGCUAUGUUGGCCGGGCGACGGUUGUCCCGGUUUAAGCGUGUAGGCUGGUUUUCCAGGCAAAUCCGGAAAAUCAAGGCUGAGGCGUGAUGACGAGGCACUACGGUGCUGAAGCAACAAAUGCCCUGCUUCCAGGAAAAGCCUCUAAGCAUCAGGUAACAUCAAAUCGUACCCCAAACCGACACAGGUGGUCAGGUAGAGAAUACCAAGGCGCUUGAGAGAACUCGGGUGAAGGAACUAGGCAAAAUGGUGCCGUAACUUCGGGAGAAGGCACGCUGAUAUGUAGGUGAAGUCCCUCGCGGAUGGAGCUGAAAUCAGUCGAAGAUACCAGCUGGCUGCAACUGUUUAUUAAAAACACAGCACUGUGCAAACACGAAAGUGGACGUAUACGGUGUGACGCCUGCCCGGUGCCGGAAGGUUAAUUGAUGGGGUCAGCGCAAGCGAAGCUCUUGAUCGAAGCCCCGGUAAACGGCGGCCGUAACUAUAACGGUCCUAAGGUAGCGAAAUUCCUUGUCGGGUAAGUUCCGACCUGCACGAAUGGCGUAAUGAUGGCCAGGCUGUCUCCACCCGAGACUCAGUGAAAUUGAACUCGCUGUGAAGAUGCAGUGUACCCGCGGCAAGACGGAAAGACCCCGUGAACCUUUACUAUAGCUUGACACUGAACAUUGAGCCUUGAUGUGUAGGAUAGGUGGGAGGCUUUGAAGUGUGGACGCCAGUCUGCAUGGAGCCGACCUUGAAAUACCACCCUUUAAUGUUUGAUGUUCUAACGUUGACCCGUAAUCCGGGUUGCGGACAGUGUCUGGUGGGUAGUUUGACUGGGGCGGUCUCCUCCUAAAGAGUAACGGAGGAGCACGAAGGUUGGCUAAUCCUGGUCGGACAUCAGGAGGUUAGUGCAAUGGCAUAAGCCAGCUUGACUGCGAGCGUGACGGCGCGAGCAGGUGCGAAAGCAGGUCAUAGUGAUCCGGUGGUUCUGAAUGGAAGGGCCAUCGCUCAACGGAUAAAAGGUACUCCGGGGAUAACAGGCUGAUACCGCCCAAGAGUUCAUAUCGACGGCGGUGUUUGGCACCUCGAUG
rnacentral:rRNA from 1 species